UGGGGAAUCUUGCACAAUGGGGGAAACCCUGAUGCAGCGACGCCGCGUGAGCGAUGAAGGUUUUCGAAUCGUAAAGCUCUGUCCUAUGGGAAGAUAAUGACGGUACCAUAGGAGGAAGCCCCGGCUAACUACGUGCCAGCAGCCGCGGUAAUACGUAGGGGGCGAGCGUUGUCCGGAAUUACUGGGCGUAAAGGGUUCGCAGGCGGCAUGACAAGUCCGAUGUAAAAGGCGAAAGCUCAACUUUCGUAAGCAUCGGAAACUGUCAAGCUUGAGUGAAGGAGAGGCAAGUGGAAUUCCUAGUGUAGCGGUGGAAUGCGUAGAUAUUAGGGGGAAUACCGGUGGCGAAGGCGACUUGCUGGACUUCAACUGACGCUGAGGAACGAAAGCGUGGGUAGCAAACAGG
rnacentral:rRNA from 1 species